rfam:Triticum aestivum genome assembly, contig: Triticum_aestivum_CS42_TGACv1_scaffold_222682_3B
AAUCUAUUCACUCCGUCCGGAAAUACUUGUCGAAGAGAUACAUAAAAAUGGAUGUAUCUAGGACCAAUAUAUAUUUAGAUACAUCCAUUCCUCCGACAAGUAUUUUCGGACGGAGGGAGUAUAUG